rnacentral:rRNA from 1 species
ACAACGAAGAGUUUGAUCCUGGCUCAGGAUGAACGCUAGCGGCAGGCUUAACACAUGCAAGUCGAGGGGUAACAGGGAUUGCUUGCAAUCCGCUGACGACCGGCGCACGGGUGCGUAACGCGUAUGCAACCUACCUUCUACAGGGGGAUAGUCAAUAGAAAUGUUGAAUAAUACCCCAUACGAUCUUUGAAUAGCAUUAUUUAAAGAAGAAAGUUCCGGCGGUAGAAGAUGGGCAUGCGUCCUAUUAGUUAGUUGGAGAGGUAACGGCUCCCCAAGACAUCGAUAGGUAGGGGUCCUGAGAGGGAGACCCCCCACACUGGUACUGAGACACGGACCAGACUCCUACGGGAGGCAGCAGUGAGGAAUAUUGGACAAUGGAGGCAACUCUGAUCCAGCCAUGCCGCGUGCAGGAAGACUGCCCUAUGGGUUGUAAACUGCUUUUAUACAGGAAGAAAUGUACCUACGUGUAGGUAUUUGACGGUACUGUACGAAUAAGGAUCGGCUAACUCCGUGCCAGCAGCCGCGGUAAUACGGAGGAUCCAAGCGUUAUCCGGAAUCAUUGGGUUUAAAGGGUCCGUAGGCGGUCUUUUAAGUCAGAGGUGAAAUCCUACAGCUCAACUGUAGAAUUGCCUUUGAUACUGAAGGACUUGAGUUAUUGUGAAGUAGUUAGAAUGUGUGGUGUAGCGGUGAAAUGCAUAGAGAUCACACAGAAUACCGAUUGCGAAGGCAGAUUACUAACAAUAUACUGACGCUGAGGGACGAAAGCGUGGGUAGCGAACAGGAUUAGAUACCCUGGUAGUCCACGCCGUAAACGAUGGAUACUAGCUGUUCGACCAACAUUGGUUGGUUGAGUGGCUAAGCGAAAGUGAUAAGUAUCCCACCUGGGGAGUACGGUCGCAAGACUGAAACUCAAAGGAAUUGACGGGGGCCCGCACAAGCGGUGGAGCAUGUGGUUUAAUUCGAUGAUACGCGAGGAACCUUACCAGGGC